rnacentral:rRNA from 4 species
GRUSAACGCUSGCGGCGUGCCUAAUACAUGCAAGUCGAACGAGUUCUGAUUAUUGAAAGGUGCUUGCAUCUUGAUUUAAUUUUGAACGAGUGGCGGACGGGUGAGUAACACGUGGGUAACCUGCCCUUAAGUGGGGGAUAACAUUUGGAAACAGAUGCUAAUACCGCAUAAAUCCAAGAACCGCAUGGUUCUUGGCUGAAAGAUGGCGUAAGCUAUCGCUUUUGGAUGGACCCGCGGCGUAUUAGCUAGUUGGUGAGGUAACGGCUCACCAAGGCAAUGAUACGUAGCCGAACUGAGAGGUUGAUCGGCCACAUUGGGACUGAGACACGGCCCAAACUCUACGGGAGGCAGCAGUAGGGAAUCUUCCACAAUGGACGCAAGUCUGAUGGAGCAACGCCGCGUGAGUNAAGAAGGCUUUCGGGUCGUAAAACUCUGUUGUUGGAGAAGAAUGGUCGGCAGAGUAACUGUUGUCGGCGUGACGGUAUCCAACCAGAAAGCCACGGCUAACUACGUGCCAGCAGCCGCGGUAAUACGUAGGUGGCAAGCGUUAUCCGGAUUUAUUGGGCGUAAAGCGAGCGCAGGCGGUUUUUUAAGUCUGAUGUGAAAGCCCUCGGCUUAACCGAGGAAGUGCAUCGGAAACUGGGAAACUUGAGUNCAGAAGAGGACAGUGGAACUCCAUGUGUAGCGGUGAAAUGCGUAGAUAUAUGGAAGAACACCAGUGGCGAAGGCGGCUGUCUGGUCUGUAACUGACGCUGAGGCUCGAAAGCAUGGGUAGCGAACAGGAUUAGAUACCCUGGUAGUCCAUGCCGUAAACGAUGAAUGCUAGGUGUUGGAGGGUUUCCGCCCUUCAGUGCCGCAGCUAACGCAUUAAGCAUUCCGCCUGGGGAGUACGACCGCAAGGUUGAAACUCAAAGGAAUUGACGGGGGCCCGCACAAGCGGUGGAGCAUGUGGUUUAAUUCGAAGCAACGCGAAGAACCUUACCAGGUCUUGACAUCUUUUGAUCACCUGAGAGAUCAGGUUUCCCCUUCGGGGGCAAAAUGACAGGUGGUGCAUGGUUGUCGUCAGCUCGUGUCGUGAGAUGUUGGGUUAAGUCCCGCAACGAGCGCAACCCUUAUGACUAGUUGCCAGCAUUUAGUUGGGCACUCUAGUAAGACUGCCGGUGACAAACCGGAGGAAGGUGGGGAUGACGUCAAAUCAUCAUGCCCCUUAUGACCUGGGCUACACACGUGCUACAAUGGAUGGUACAACGAGUUGCGAGACCGCGAGGUCAAGCUAAUCUCUUAAAGCCAUUCUCAGUUCGGACUGUAGGCUGCAACUCGCCUACACGAAGUCGGAAUCGCUAGUAAUCGCGGAUCAGCACGCCGCGGUGAAUACGUUCCCGGGCCUUGUACACACCGCCCGUCACACCAUGAGAGUUUGUAACACCCGAAGCCGGUGGCGUAACCCUUUUAGGGAGCGAGCCGUCUAAGGUGGGNCAAAUGAUUAGGGUGAAGUCGUAACAAGGUAGCCGUAGGAGAACC